GGUUUAUCAAUGCGAGACGUAGAAUUGUUCAACCAAUGAUCGACCAGAGUAAUCGAGCCGUGUUUCCACCAUUGUCCGCAGGUCCAAGCGGGGCGUACAGUCCGGAUGCGACGAUGGGUUACAUGAUGGACGGACAGGCGGCUAGCAUGAUGCACCGGCCGCCUGGUGAUCCUACCUUCCAUAAUCAGUACCAUUACCCGGCGGAGUACUACGGACAUCACAUAUAAAGAAAUCUAGCGAGACGGAAUGCAACGACGGUUCUAGCGACACAAAACGCGUGAUGGACCUAACGUCCUCAUGAAUCUCGGAGGACAACAAUGAUCCGCGGCGCGAUCACGGCGGAAACCGAAGAGUUUCUUGUCACGCCGCACGUCGAAAUCCGGUGACACUCGGGUGUUCGAGAGAAGAAAAAAAACGAGCAAGACGAGCGAGUUCAAGGAACGACGAGGCGAGCGAAACGCCGCGGAAGGCCGACGAGGAAGAUCGUAGAACCGUCGAAGGGGAGAAGAAGGACGGUUACGAGGACGAUGCGGAGAGCGGCUGCGGAAGCGGCGACGCGAAUAAAGGAAGAAAUGGAAGAGAAGGAGUGUGAAAGAAGUUGAAGCCGCGCGGUCUUGCGGUCGGUAAAGUGACGCGACCGCGGAGAAAUUCAUAUGUGAUUGUUCUUUGUACAAAUAUCGCGGUGUAAUAUUGUAGUGAUUGAAGAAUUUAAAUGUUAAAUUUUAAUACGGUCGCGAUCGAGAUAUGUUAAUGAGAUAUAAGUGAUAUUAUAGGCAAUUUAGCGGGCAUGUACAUUAAAAAGAAUAAAAAAGAAAAGAAACAAACCCGGUGCUCGCACGGAAUAGAACGUUCAAGUGCAUAGACGACGCAAGAAAACUAUUAGAAAAGAGAGAAAGAGAGAGAGAGAGAGAGACCAGAUAAGAAGAGAGACCACGCGCGAGAGAUGGACAAAAGAAAGAUGUCGGAGAAGUAUAUAUAUAUAUAUCUAUAUAUAUAUAUACAUAUACAUGAUGUAUACAUAUAUAUAUUAUAAAUAAAAUAUAAAAUUCAUGCUGAGCGCGAGGCAUGAAAAAAAAGAGAAAGAUUAUUAUGUGGGCACGGGAGUUGUUUAAAGGUAUAUAAAAGAAAACGGAUGCGCAAACACAUACAGGGGGACGCACUAGGAUCGAAUGACAUCGACGCGUUGCCGCAACUCAAGCGUCGACCAUUCAUAUAUAUAUAUAUAUACAUAUAUAUAUACAUAUAUAUAUAUAGAAAUAUUGAAAUUUGU